rnacentral:lncRNA from 10 species
AGGCUCUCUCCUCUCAGUAGCAUGGUCCUACACAGCCAACAGCAUUCUCCUAACUCUGUCCCCAGAUCCCAAACUUUCAGAGUGCUGUCUCUGCUGAUGCUGUGGAAUGUCUGUGAGAGCAAUUUCUAAUCAAGACCCACACAGUGAAAAUCUAUACAAUGGAUUUUGGACUCACGCAACCAUCAAUCUAACUUCAUGAAAACAAAGGUUACCCAAAGCAGGAAAAUGAGAGGAAGAACUAUGAGUGAAGAAAUAAACACGUUGAAGCUGUAAACUUCCAAACCAAAAGCAUGGAUGGAUCUUCAGGAAACCAGUCUUUUGUGAUGCGAUUCAGGAGAUUCAGCACGAGAGUAAAACUUUGACACUCAAACUUGCAGCCCACUUUGAUCCAGUAAUACGGAAAAGAAUCAGUUUGAAAAUUCAGAGAAAAAAGAUAAGUACUUUUUUUUUGAAUAUCUUUUUUCUACAUUAAGUAUUUUUAAUUGCAUUACAUUAAUCAUUUUUCUGAUAGUAAAUGUUUCUAGGAGUGCUGAUUAUCCAUCAUUCUUCAGUUUGUACUGAAUUCAAUUUAAGAAGUUGUGGAGGCUGUUGGAUUAUUCAAUAUAGUCUGAAAAAUGCUGCUGUUUUAUUCUGAUUCAUGCAAUAUACAAUUGAUCAUCCCUCUAUAAGAAAUGAAUUUUCCAUAAUGCUUUUUUAUUCUCUUUUCAGUGUGCUCAACAUAUUCUUGAGAAAUCUAAUAUUUCAUGGCAAAAUAAUUAUUUACAUCACAGAAAUAUGCAUUUUUCAUUAGCUGUAGAAGAACAAAACAUAUGACAACUAUUAAAAAUAAUAUACUUUUGGCUGGGUGCAGUGGCUCACACCUGUAAUC